rnacentral:rRNA from 1 species
AGAGUUUGAUCCUGGCUCAGGACGAACGCUGGCGGCAUGCCUAACACAUGCAAGUCGAACGGGAUGGAGCCUUCGGGCUCCGGCGAGUGGCGAACGGGUGAGUAACACGUGGGUAACCUACCUUUCACUGGGGGACAACCGAGGGAAACUUCGGCUAAUACCGCAUGAUGUGCGAUGCCAUGAGGUGUCGUACCAAAACUCCGGUGGUGAAAGAUGGGCCCGCGGCGGAUUAGCUUGUUGGUGGGGUAAUGGCCUACCAAGGCGACGAUCCGUAGCUGGUCUGAGAGGACGAUCAGCCACACUGGGACUGAGACAUUGCCCAGACUCCUACGGGAGGCAGCAGUGGGGAAUCUUGCGCAAUGGGCGAAAGCCUGACGCAGCAAUGCCGCGUGAGGGAAGAAGGUCUUAGGAUUGUAAACCUCUUUCAGCAGGGAAGAAAACAGACGGUACCUGCAGAAGAAGCCCCGGCUAACUACGUGCCAGCAGCCGCGGUAAUACGUAGGGGGCGAGCGUUGUCCGGAAUCAUUGGGCGUAAAGAGCGUGUAGGCGGACUGGAAGGUCUGGUGUGAAAGCCCGGGGCUCAACCCCGGAGGGUCACCGGAAACCGACAGUCUUGAAUCUGGAAGAGGAGAGUGGAAUUCCUGGUGUAGCGGUGGAAUGCGCAGAUAUCAGGAGGAACACCAAUGGCGAAGGCAGCUCUCUGGUACAUGAUUGACGCUGAGACGCGAAAGCGUGGGGAGCGAACAGGAUUAGAUACCCUGGUAGUCCACGCCGUAAACGAUGGGUGCUAGGUGUGGGAGGUGUCGACUCCUUCCGUGCCGAAGCUAACGCAUUAAGCACCCCGCCUGGGGAGUACGGCCGCAAGGCUAAAACUCAAAGGAAUUGACGGGGACCCGCACAAGCAGCGGAGCAUGUGGUUUAAUUCGACGCAACGCGAAGAACCUUACCUAGGCUUGACAUGUUGGAGAACGCCGUGGAAACACGGAACUCUUUGGACACUCCAUCACAGGUGGUGCAUGGCUGUCGUCAGCUCGUGUCGUGAGAUGUUGGGUUAAGUCCCGCAACGAGCGCAACCCCUGUCCUAUGUUGCCAGCGAGUAAUGUCGGGGACUCAUAGGAGACUGCCGGUGACAAACCGGAGGAAGGUAGGGAUGACGUCAAGUCAGCAUGCCCCUUAUGUCUAGGGCUACACACGUGCUACAUUGGCCGGUACAGAGGGCUGCGAAGCGGCAACGCGGAGCGAAUCUCAGAAAGCCGGUCUCGGUUCGGAUUGAGGGCUGAAACUCGCCCUCAUGAAGGUGGAGUUGCUAGUAAUCGCGGAUCAGCAACGCCGCGGUGAAUACGUUCCCGGGUCUUGUACACACCGCCCGUCACACCACGAAAGUCGGUAAUACCCGAAGCCGGUGGCCUAACCUCUUGAGGAGGGAGCCGUCGAAGGUAGGAUCGAUGAUUGGGGUGAAGUCGUAACAAGGUAGCC